GGCGAAAGGGACUAGAUGAAGACUUUCUGUGUAAUUUGAUAUGUGUGUAAUCAUCAGAGAGUUAGAAAAUGGUUUGCCGGCUACUGAGGACCUUCCUCCAAAAUACGACGACUUGGUGGACAAACUGCCAUCUUACGAGGAAGCAAUUUUCACGACACAAAAGAAUCCUUCGGUCGACGCGGGCAAGCAAGAACCUAGCUUUCGACCAGAAAUCCCUUCCUGACGUCGACAUCGAAGCGGCAUCGCGUGGAAACC